rnacentral:tRNA from 1 species
GCCUUGGUUGUGAAAUUGUAGACACGCGAGACUUAAAAUCUCGUGCUAAAGAGCGUUGAGGUUCGAGUCCUCUUCAAAGGA